AUUGAACGCUGGCGGCAUGCCUUACACAUGCAAGUCGAACGGCAGCGGACCUUCGGGUGCCGGCGAGUGGCGAACGGGUGAGUAAAGUAUCGGAACGUACCUUUCAGUGGGGGAUAACGUAGCGAAAGUUACGCUAAUACCGCAUAUUCUGUGAGCAGGAAAGCAGGGGAUCGAAAGACCUUGCGCUGAUUGAGCGGCCGAUAUCAGAUUAGCUAGUUGGUGAGGUAAAGGCUCACCAAGGCGACGAUCUGUAGCGGGUCUGAGAGGAUGAUCCGCCAAACUGGAACUGGGACACGGUCCAGACUCCUACGGGAGGCAGCAGUGGGGAAUUUUGGACAAUGGGGGCAACCUGAUCCAGCCAUGCCGCGUGAGUGAAGAAGGCCUUCGGGUUGUAAAGCUCUUUCGGCCGGGAAGAAAUCGCGCAGGUUAAUACCCUGUGUGGAUGACGGUACCGGAAUAAGAAGCACCGGCUAACUACGUGCCAGCCGCCGCCGUAA
rnacentral:rRNA from 1 species